UUCUGGCUCAGCCGGCCGCCUCAACGUGGUGACAGGGUGCAGUACUCUUUGCUAGGGAGGAAGCCAAGCGCCUG
rnacentral:ribozyme from 1 species